rnacentral:rRNA from 1 species
CCGUGGCUUAUUCAUAAGGUACCGUCACUAUCUUCCCUUAUAAAAGGAGUUUACGACCCGAAGGCCUUCGUCCUCCACGCGGCGUCGCUGCGUCAGGGUUUCCCCCAUUGCGCAAAAAUUCCCC